rnacentral:lncRNA from 1 species
GCAGGUGUCAAUUCCUUGCAAAAAUUCCAUCUCAACUCCACCUCACAAAGACCAUCUCCCUCUAUACAAACAUUGACCUCCACUCCAUUUAAUUCUUUCUUCCCUGAUUCCACGUCGCUUGGCGGUGAGCUUUCUUUUUAUUUUCUCUCCUUUCAUUCUUUCGGAUUCUUGACUACAUUUUGAUUGUAACUUUUUGUGUUUCCCUCUUUGUUUUUCUCAUAUCAGAUGUUUCUUUUGUUAGGAACAUCCUGUUUUAUCAAAACUUGUGUGUGAUGACCUGAUUCAUAGAUGAUGAACUUAUGCGUGGUGAGGAUAUGAUAGAUUGGUGACAAUGAUGGUUGAGGAGGUUCCAUUUCUGUUUUUUCUUUAUGAUGAACUUAUGCGUGGUGAGGAUAUGAUAGAUUGGUGACAAUGAUGGUAGAGGAGGUUCCAUGAAAUGCCCCCAAACAGAAAAGAAACCU